AAGGACUUCACCAGAGAGUGACAGUGCCGGCUUCAUCGUCUAUCCUAGUCACCGUCUUCCUUUAGUCUGUUCGUGCAGAACUAAACCUGUGCCAUUCAGUCAUGCACCGUCCCCCUCCCCCACCCCCUCACAAACUCUCCGUCUCUCUCUCAACUUCGACCUCCACGUGCUCAUCAUGCCAACAUUUGUGGAAAAAGAGCAAAGGUUUUGAUGCAAUUCAAAAUAUGGUUUGGCAAUUUCAGAUGAAGCGGCCUCUCACAUGAUUCUGCCCACUUCCUAGAGCUUCGUCGAUUACCCGUCGCCACUCUGUGAGUCUCUAUAGAGUAAAUAAUUUCUACCGACACACCCAAAUUCUUCAAAAUUGGUGGAGACAAGUACGCAAGUUGAUGAUAGAGUGAGCGCUCAAAACUACCGUCACUUUGAUGCAUUACUAGUGCGCACGGAUGCGGAGCAACUCAAGGGACCAACCGGAGAGUGGAGGGUUGGUAAGAAUGGUGCGAAUACCUCAGCCCAAAGCAUUUCAGUAGCUGUUCUUUGUGUGGGGUGUCCCAAGUCUUUCUCUUGGGUAAGCGUCUUGAACAGGACCUCACGUUGACGGUGACCCUUUCUUCAAAUAUAUCCAGUUCAAAUGAUUGAUUCAAGCCAAGCCCAGAGCCUGUCUCGCAGACGAUAGUUAUUGGCAUCUAAAAUUGUCGGUUAGUGUUUCACACUUUUCAAUGGCUAACCCAAACUAAGUGUGAGUUGUUACCACACUAUCACAUGAUCAUGCAUUACCUUUCUACUGCUUCGACCUGGUUUUCAGAGCAGGCGCCACAGAUUCCGCAGCUUCGUUCAAUUCUGGAAGGGUUAAUAUCAAGCCCUGUUCAACACACAAGUUGUAAUCUAGUUCAUGUCCUCCAGAAAGAUCUGAUGUUGUAUAGCGUUUAGUUCUAUAACAGCAAUUCCAGUACUUGCGAAUCGCUAAAUGAAAGAUUACUGGAACUCUAGCUAGCUUUCAGUAGUAUGUGAUUACCACGGGAAGGGCAAAAUCUUCUAUCCUCUGCUUGAACUGCAACUCGACGUGGAGUACCUUAUGCUUUUAAGACAUGACUCGUGGAGUUGAUGGGUAUAUUAUCAAGUUUAAGCUGCCUUGAACUUAACUUAGUUAUGUGUCCUUGGUGUUUGAUCGCCUGCUGUAAACCCGCUGGCCAUUUUGCGCCGUGGCCAGAUGAUGAUUCUCAUGUGAGAUUUUCGAGCCUGAAGGUGAACCACUUGUCUUGAGAAUUUAGCCUUUCUCAAGUAGUGUGAAUAGACUUGUGCAUGGAAGUGAGAAAAUAUCCUGGUUCAGAUAUGUUAUAAAGAAAGACUUACUAAUUAUCUGCCAGAUCUGCUGCGCAAAUGAGAGCCGAACCAGGAAGUGCUAUGUUGUAGGCCUUGUAAUAUUGAUGAAGCCUUUACAGAUGCUCAGUCACUGUCCAGAUACUGAUGCCGAAAGUCUUUGUGGCAUCAAGAUGAUCGAAGGAUCCGACGACUGCUCAAGUGUGUCAGCCUCAAACCUUGUUGCUAGUUUAUCAGUGAACGCCCCCAACUGAUACGAUGAAUUGGACAGCCAUUGCAUAGUUGGCCCCUCUGAGAAUCAACUGAUAUCAAUUUGCAAUAGGCUUGACGUUCACUUUCUGCAGGUUGUUCAAAUGAUAUUUGCUUCGGUCUGCAGCAUCGGGUUCAAGACUGAAGUGCUGUUGCGGAGAACAUGGACUGAGAUCAUCAACUAGAAACCUCGGCGUGGAUCUCCUAAUUGGGUAUUGCAAUAACUCAUGGCUUGCAUUUGGUAGGAGUUCCUGAGGCGUCGCUUCAUCAAGAGUACUUCCUUCAAUGAGAUAUACCAGAUUCUGAGAUCUGCUGUAAAAAUCAACUAAAUCUUCUCUCAAUGCUCGGAUCAUUUGUAAAAGCAACUAUCAGUAGCCCACGAUCCACGGGCUAAAGAUAUAUUAUAUUUCUUGAGAUUUUUCAUAUUACGAUGAGGUUUUAUAAAACAUACACCUUAUCAAAAUAGACAGGUAAGAGACGCAUAUUCUCCACAGUAUCCGGUUUUACAACUCAUGAAACUUCCCUCAAGAUUUCUCCACAGUUGUUUCAGCUUCAAGCUGAAACCUGACGAACUGGACCAAGUGGUUGACAAACAGUAGUUACCAUGAGAUUGGCACCAAAUCUUGUGAACUCGGUAUUGGAGUAAUCGUAUCACGCUAUCAGUAAGAAUCCAGACCCAUGUCAUGCAAUGGUGCAUUGAACAUUGACACUGGGACAGAGUGGCAAAAGCAGAAAAGGUUUCGGAGACUGUCAGUGAUCUCGAGCAGGAAUUGAUCAUGGCAGAAUCUUGUUUAGUUUGAUUUGAAGAGAUCGAGGUGAAGCUUUUUCAGGUGUUCAGCGGCGUCAGAGAGUGUGGCAGUCGACAACUUUCUUUCUGUUGUUCUCAUUUGACUAAUUUUCCUAAGUAUAAAACCAACUAAGAAAGGCUUCUCAAUUUCAACCAACAACAAGAUUUGAAAGUAGUGGGCUCUCUCACCUUCUCUUGUCAGCAUAGAAACCCCAAAGAGUCAUGUGAUGGAUAAGAUGAUACUCUUCAGAUUUUGCCUGACUCUCUUUUUUUUUUCCUUCUUUUUCUUUUGUGAGGAGUUCAGGGGCCUUGGAUGCUCUGGUGUUACCGCUCAUAAUAAUAACAAUAAUAAUAAAAACAAUGCACCCA